CGGGUGAGUAAUGCUUGGGAAUCUGGCUUAUGGAGGGGGAUAACUACGGGAAACUGUAGCUAAUACCGCGUAGUGUCGAGAGACGAAAGUGCGGGACCGAAAGGCCGCAUGCCAUGAGAUGAGCCCAAGUGGGAUUAGGUAGUUGGUGGGGUAAAGGCCUACCAAGCCUGCGAUCUCUAGCUGGUCUGAGAGGAUGGCCAGCCACACUGGAACUGAGACACGGCCCAG
rnacentral:rRNA from 1 species